UACGUAGGGUGCGAGCGUUAAUCGGAAUUACUGGGCGUAAAGCGUGCGCAGGCGGUUCGUUAUGUCCGAUGUGAAAGCCCCGAGCUCAACUUGGGAAUGGCAUUGGAAACUGGCGGGCUGGAGUGUGGCAGAGGGGGGUGGAAUUCCACGUGUAGCAGUGAAAUGCGUAGAGAUGUGGAGGAACACCGAUGGCGAAGGCAGCUCGCUGGGACGGUACUGACGCUGAGGCGCGAAAGCGUGGGGAGCGAACAGG
rnacentral:rRNA from 1 species